rnacentral:RNase_P_RNA from 13 species
AGAAGUAGGCGAGGCGGCUGCGGAUUCGGCGGCGAUGCUGACUGAAUUCGAGGAAAGUCCGGGCUUCCGAAAGACCACACUUGCUGGGUAACGCCCAGUGCGCGUGAGCGUGAGGAUAGUGCCACAGAAAAAUACCGCCCUGGCCCUUCGGGGUUUCGGUGUGGUGGGUCAGGCUCCUGGAGCCGAACCGCUGUCCCUGGAAUCUGUGAGUGAAGGGCUGGGGUAAGGGUGCAAAGGUGCGGUAAGAGCGCACCAGCAGUAUCGAGAGGUGCUGGCUCGGUAAACCCCGGUGGGACGCAAGGUCGGAGGAACUAGGGUUGGUCUUUUUCCCGUUCCGUACAGGGUCAAUCUUCGGGUUGGCGCUGCGGUGUACCGCUAGAGGUGUCUGGUAACAGGCAUUCGAGAUAGAUAGCUGCCCCUAAGUCUGGAGACAGAUGAGGGAACAGAACCCGGCUUAUGUCCAACUUCUUCGU